GGUCGUAUGGUCUAGUGGUUAGGACUCCGGAUUUUGAUUCCGGCAGCCCCGGUUCGAACCCGGGUACGACCU
rnacentral:tRNA from 1 species